CUUCUCCGGGAGGCAGACUCUGAGACAGAGAUGAGCACUGGGGAGUUGACAAGGGAUGUCCUUGGGAAGAGAGAAGGAUUAGGCAGAAGGAGAAACCCAGCUGUGAUGGAGUCUUAAAGGAAGCUGUGACGGUGACCCUGCGGGCAGUUCUGAAGAUGAAUGAUCCUUCGGAAUUGAGACAAGCAAGCUGGAAAACUUGAAGCAUAAGGAGGACUAGAAAUAAUUUUGCCUUGGUGAAAUGAGUGAAGUUCAAGGUAUGAGGACAGCUGGAACAACACCCAGUGAAACUCUGCCCUGGAUGAACCCAGUGCAAGAAUCGGUGAGCAUCAUGUCUUGGAAGGAACUCCCUCGUUCAAGCACUAGGAUCGCUCCUCACCAAAUCCCCAACGCUGGAUAUAUAUCAGGAGAAAAGAGCCAGGAAUGUCUAGGUGGAGAUGGAGAUCUCCAGGAGUAA
rnacentral:lncRNA from 1 species